rnacentral:rRNA from 1 species
GUCUAUGGCCAUGCCACCCUGAACAAGGUGGACCCCAUCUGAUCUUGGAAGCUAAGCAGGGUCAGGCUUGGUUAGUACUUUGAUGGGAGACCACCUAGGAAGACCAGGUGCUGCAGGCG